CUGGAUGCUGGCAAGUGAUGACCGCUUGGCUGAGCCUGAGCUGUCUGGAUGAAGUCUGGUGGAGACAGCAGAAGACUGCUUGUCAGAACCGACUGGCUGAACUCAUAACCUCCCUGCUCUGUCCACCCAUGCUGAGGCCUCUGCCUCCAAGAAAGGCACCCCCUGCACUGGUCUGCCAGCUUCCUUUCCUGGCCAAGGAGGAAGAGGAGGCCUGAUUACCAAGGGCAGCUGUGAGCUCAUGGGAAGAACAAUAGGCUCAGGGAAGUUGGGAUCGAGUCCUGCUGGAGAUUCCAUUCGAGCUUGCUUUCUUUGAGGGCAGAAGUACAUGCAAGCCAAAAAUGGACAGAUAGUGAGGGAGCCUGUGGCCCUCAGGGUCAGGUUUCCCACCUCUUCAGUGAGGAUUACAGCACCCACCACACCAGGCUAUGAGGACGAAUCAGAGAUAAUUUCGGCAAAAACAAACACCCUGCUUGGCACAUCCUGAGCCCUAAAUGAAGGCUGAACAGCACAGGGUGGAAAGCUGCAGCCACACUCACUGGACUGGACUGGAAUCAACUGGUCCUGUCUUUGUUUUAAAGUUUGAUAUUUUGUUCACCGUCGAUUUUUCUCAUUAGUACAGAUUUUAAAGUAUUUCAUUACACUACUAUGCAUCUUGAUUAUUGAAUUAGUGAAUCCCUUAAAUUUUGUGCCUGAGGCUCCUGACUGGCUUGCUUUCUUAUAAUCAAGUCUCUUAAUUCUCUGUGCCUCAGCCUCCUCUUCUGGAAAAUGGAAAUAAUAAUAUCACCUACCAGAUAGCCCUGUGCUGAGGGUGAAAUAUGUCAAAACAUGUUCUUCCUCUUUAUCUUCAGCAGCUCCUUGAAAUGAAUAAGCAGUCAGGGAAUGUUGGGCUUCCCAGGUAUGGUGCUAGUGAUAAAGAAUUCGCCAGCCAUGCAGGUGAUUCAAAGAGAUGCAGGUUUGAUCCCUGGGUGGGGAAGAUCCCCUGGAGAAGGAAAUGGCAACCUGCUCCAGUAUUCUUGCUGGGCUAAUCCCAUGGACAGUGGAGCCUAGCAGGCUAUAUAGUCCACGGGGUCACAAGAGUUGGACAGGACUGAGCACAGCACAGCAGUGGAUGUUACCCAUCAUUCUGGGUGUUGUUGAUGCUGUCGUUAGAAUGUUAAUCAUUCCAUCAGCCUGCAGAAAGACCCUACAGAUGAGAAGGUCUCUGUUGAGGGGGAAGAGGAUGAGCUGCAUGGAUAUGGGUCAGAUGAAGGAGCCCUGGAUUCCCAGCCGGGGUGCCUGGGGGCUUCUCCAGAGAUGGGGGCAAGCAUACAGGGGAGAGGCAGCCCCACUAGAGCUCCUGCAGAAAAUGCUGGCCAUGCAACUGCUCUCUGGAGACACCACGAGUUGCCUCUGCAGCUUUUCCUUUCGGGACUUGUUUAACAUUUCAAGCAAGAAUAAAAUAAAUAACUGCAGUGUUUAUGGAAACCUAAGACAGAAAUGAAGACGACUAAGGAGAAAGAGAAGUGGAAGCAGGCCAGGAGGGGGUUUGGAGGAUCCCCCUUUCCUUGGAGUUAGCAGUUUGGUGCUUCAAUUUGUCAGUCCUUCUUAACACACCCAUGCAUUGCUCCCCUAGCAACCCCUCCACUGAUACGCAUAGAUUCACAUGCAGACUCGUGGGCGGGGCAUGCAUGCCCACGCAUGCGUGCAUGCACACACACACACUUUGCUGGUCAAUGGACAAAGUGGGUCCUUCCAGAUCCCCAGGGACUUGGAGCAGCUUCCCUGUUCCCAACUCCAUAGUCCCUCCAUCCCUUGAGCGACCGGGGAGAGGAGAGAAGAUAUUUCUCAUUAAACCCAGGACCAUAAAUUUGUCAUGGUUCCAUCUUUUUUCUGGUUUGAGUCGUCUGUCUGCAAUUAACUAACUACAGGGGUAGACAGUCUAACGACCUCAAGGGCAGGAGAUGAUGUCGCUCCUCCAUCCUCACAUCCCCGGAGAGGGGUCUGCUCUGUACACAGCACAAGAAAUACUGGACACAAUCCUUCUCCUCAACUCACUCACGGAGAUGAACCACAGCCUUAGAGAUGCACAAAAAUGCUUACAAUACAAGGCUGACUCGGACACUGGGCUGCUCAGAGACCAUUUCGAGGAGAGCAUGGUGUUUACUGUCAAGUCUGAAAAAUAUAUUUGAGGAAGUGCCAAGCAAAUAGCUGGUUGCAGAAAUGAUGGAAUGCGCUUGUCCUGUAGUUCCUUCAGCAUCUUAGGAGGUAAGACCAGAGUGUUAUUUAGCUGGGGAUUUCCUUCAACUCCUCUUCUUUAUCCUGCUCUGUGGCCCUAAGGCUGCCUCUGGGCUGUACUAAUGUGCUUCUCCCUUGCCUACUGGUUCCAGAUUAGGGCUAAGGGAGGAGGAGGGUCCUGGGUAUAUCUUCCCUAGGUUCCCCCCUUGCCAGGUUGCUGGGACAGCAAUGCUUUCUGACAGCAAGGG
ensembl:lncRNA